UCCUUCAGGGGGAGUUGUCUUCUCGUAACGUUCUCGUCCGACCUCUAAGGAGGUCGGUUAUAUAGUGGAUGUAUUUUUGGACUUUCUAUAUGCUCACUACAGGAAAUACGGAAGAUAGCGGCCACAAAUUACCUGCGGUUUCUCCAUCUGCCACAAUUUGAUAAGAUAGCUGCGAUUUGCAUCCAAUCGCUUCAAUGUGACGCAGAAACAACUUGGAUUAGCGUCGAUUUUAUGAAGCCCUGCCGCAAACCCUAUCCCAAUUCAGUGAUUUCAACCAAAAUCAGUCUAUUUGACCCAAAAUAUAUAUUGAGGAAUGCAUGAAAGGAGAGUGGAAGUGGCGAAUCCCUGUUCUCUGCUCCACCGUGCGCUGCUGUGUCACCCUGGAGUCGCCUGGUUGCCGACCCAACCUCUUCUCACCGCCGUCGACCGUUCCCCUCUACUCUAUAGUACAUUAAACCCUAAUCCCCCAUUCACGGUGUGCAUAACUCACCCCUGUUCUCUGCAACCCCGUGCGCAUCUGUGCUGUCUUUGAGUCGCAUGGCUGUCCAGACAUCCUCCUCUCGUUGUCAUCAACCGUUCCCCUCUCCUCCACCCCUUACUCCCUCCUCCAUCGUGCGCAAUCUGAGCUAUCGCGGCCUCUUCCCUGGUUCGUUCUUCCAUCCGAAUUUGUUCCUUAUUUUCACCAAAAUUUUCUAUAUCUUCUUGGUUCAGAUUAUGCUUUCAGGUUAAUUUGAUUUAGAUUUUGUCUAUAUCUUCUAUUAAUUCAAUUUAAAUUUUGCUAUAUAGAGUUAAAGGAUUUGAAGGUACCACUAUUGUAUUUUUGAGUUGGUAUGAUGGAAUUGGAACAUUAAGUUUGUAUAUAAUUUCUAUUUUUUUUUCCUUCUGUCUUCUUGCAUUUGUGAAUUGUGACAUGGGAGCCCCAUUGUGGCUCAUGCCCUUAAGUUGUUUGAUGAAAUGCCCCAACAAAGCGAUACAUACCAGACAUGCUAUUAAAUUUUUGUAUAUUGCGAAAUGAGUUUUUGUUGGCAUAUAUUGUGUCAAGUCUGCAAUAGGUUAAAUAUAGAACUCGACAUGGGGAAUAGCGCUUCUCAUACAAUACCUUGACAGAUUUUAUAGCUUUUUCUAGAGAGAGAAAAGAGAGUAACACAGUGCAGUGCCACUGUGUCAGAUAUCAGUCUUUACAAUUAUGUAUGGACAUUGAAACUGUGUAGAAUUAAAGAAAGUCAUGAUUGCUGAUUAAGAAAGAAACUUAUAGCUUCCAUAAGGAGAGAGAAGAUAUACAAAGGAGGGAUCCAGUUAAUGCUUAGAUAAUGAAACCGUAUAGAUAAUAUUCAGAUAGAAUGGACCAAAAAAGAUUAACAAUUUCAUAUGAGGAACUAAUGGUAAGUAGCAUUUGGUUCUGAUUAAAUAGAAAUAAAAAUUUAACUAAGAGAAAAGUUGUCUUCUUUUGCUGGCAUUGAGAUGCUAAACUAUGCCUGAAGCUGUGUACUUGACUAGAUUAAAUUUGUGACUAUUGACAUAUCUGUGUUUAAAAUAUAGGACCAUAUAUUUAUUACUUGUCAAUAAUUGUGAUUAUUUGUAUUAAGCUAGGGGUAUUCGAAUUUAAAGCUUGCUUAGAGUUAUUAGUAUGCUGAAUAACUAGCAUAAGGAUCCUCUUUGUUCUUUAAGAAUUUGAGCCUUUUAAUAGGAUUGCCCAUGUGAUUUUUAGAAUGAAAAAGAAGUCAUUUAUCUUAUAAAAGUGCCUCUUUACCACCCAAAAAUAUGAGUUAAAAUUGAGCCGUGGCAAUACACAUCACAUAAUGGAGCUGGAUUAAUUUUCUUCAAUUAGAAAUUUAGAAUACUUUUAUACUAUAUGAAGUCCACUAGUUAUUAAUUAAAUAGUAAGGCACAUCGUUUGGUUUUGGUAUGCAUCCCAUAGUCUCACUAAGCAUGUUAUUCUGUAGUUAAUAAAAAUAAUGUGAAAUACACCAAGUCAUGUAAUUAAUUUGAUUUUCUUAAUUAGAAAACUAAUCUCAACAAAGAGUGUACAUACCAAGUCAUGUGAUUAAUAUGAUAUUCUUUCUUAUCUUUGUGUUUCUCAUCGUUAUUUUGAUGCAUGUGGUGCCUUGUGUAUAUUAGAUUUUAAUUAGAUUGGUGUAGGAACUUGGUUUGUGUAGUUUAAAAAGUGGUGGUGGGUGGAAAAUUGCAUAAUCUUUAAAUGCUAUAUUAGAAUGCAUGACCUGUUGCAAGAGUUAGGCAUGAGAAUAAUUUGGCAAAGUGCUCCAAAUGAGCCAUGGAAGUGGAGUAGGAUAUGACGCAAAGAGGAUUUUCAAUGUAUUAUGUUCGGAAAUAUGGUCAUUGAUGAUAUUAAGGCCGUGCAAUUGAUUGAACCAUAUGAAAAAAGAAUGACAUUAAGAGCAGAAACAUUAUCAAGAAUGAGACGACUUGAAUUUCUCAAAAUAAAAAGUGUUAGUUUUUCUGAAAGCUUUGAUAGCAUUUUUAGCAAAUUGCUAUAUCUUGAGUGGGAAGAUUAUCCAUUUACGUAUUUUCUAUCAUGUUGUAAGUUAUCCAAGCUUUUGAAAUUAGUCUUACAAAGGAGCAACAUCAAGCAACUAUGGGAUGGCACAAUGGUACUACUAAUAAAUAAAACUUGUGAAAUGGAGAGAAUUGAGGAUGUUGAAUUGCCCGAAAAUAGUAGAGAAGGAAAGGCUCAGUGAAAUAGGUAGUUCAUGGAUUAGAGAGUACAUUAAGGUACACAAUGAAUCCACUGAUAGACUUGCUAUUGUAAUUCCAGGGAGUGGAAUUCCAAUUCCAAGGUGGUUUAAGCAUCAGAAUAAGGGGGCGGAUAAUUCAACGUGGAUAGAAUCAUUUCCAAAUGCCAAUGACAACAAUUGGACUGGCAUUGCCCUUUGUGCCGAGAUUGUUGUUCAAUUUGCACCACCGCCCCUCAUUGAGCUCUACUUUUACGACCAAACAGGAAAAGCCAAUCUUGUGCACUAUGUUGGUUGGCUUGAAAAGGAAGAGGAGGUGAUGGGUGAAUUGGUUCACCUCUGCCUAUUCUAUUUUUCUCGCCAACUACUUCUUCGGGAUGAAAAGCAGCAUGAUCUUGAUGGAUCCCACUUUGAAUUCAAAGUAGAUUACCACAACUAUGUCGAUAAUGGGCGUUUGUGUUUGGAAGUGAAGAAGUGGGAAAUGCGUGUGGUGAACCAGGAUUUGGAGUAACCCAACUCUGGCAGAUAUUUAUUUAGUUUGAUUAUUUCCCAACUCACAGCGCUAUUUUUCAAUUCCAACCAAACACACACUAGGCUUCCAGUGGAUUCUACUGGAGUACAACACAGAAGGCUUUUCUUCCCAUGUUCUAUAUUUCUGCUAUUAUUACUGUUAUUGUCACUCUAUGCUGUUAUGUUACUUGAGUUCGAAGCUUGAAGCUUGGCUGAUAUUGUCUAAUCUAUGUCCUUGUUGGAGAGAAGAGGAUUGAGAUAUGUUGAGGGUGAUUCAUAAUUAAUAUGAGUAACUGGAACUCAUCAGAGAAUAACUUAUUGGUGUUCAUGCUACCAUGUUGCUGAAAUGCACUUGGCUUUCUUGGAACAUUUGAUGUAAAUAGUGAUAUCCAUGUUUCAAAAUAAAGUAGCGUUCUUUAUUUAUGUGUAGAGACAUUUUUAGUGGUUAUUGGCUUUUUUUCUAUAUUUGCUUCCACUUGAUGUUAUUAGUAAGUUGAGACCCUUGA